AACAAGACCUGCUACAUAAGAAAAACUUAAAGAUGAGUUCCUCCUCUUGCUUUCUGAGGACACUGUACUCUGUAUCUGAGUAGCUUUCAAUAAACAAUGUCUUCUCACUGCACCCUGAGACUUGCCUUGAAUUUCUUCCUGCAUGAGAUCCAAGAACCCUCUCCUGGGGUCUGGAUCAGGACCUCUUUUUCUAGUAACACUAUGAUCGCACC
rnacentral:lncRNA from 10 species